rnacentral:lncRNA from 1 species
AGCAUUUCUAAAUGACUUGAAGCUCUGUCACGGCAUAAUCUCUUAUAAAUAAAUGUCAGUGUAGUCACUGAAUGCAGACUGGAUUUUUGCCUGACUACGGUGCUCAGCCUUCUAGACAAUAGUUAUGCUAAGGGAUUAUCUUUUAACAUUGUGCAGUUAUCUCCUUUGUUUGUUUUCUUUUUUCAUUAUUCACAUAAGCCAAGGGAAAUGAAAAGCAUCUUAUUUCAGGCAAAAAGGCCUGUGAAUGAUUAACUCUGGUUCCAUGCGUUGGGACUUUGCAUAGCAACCCCGUGGCUUGCAACGACAAAAAAGCUCAAGGCAGGAACAGCAGCCCAGGGACCUGAGACCAGCGUUCUCAAAUGAAGCCAGAUCUGCUGUUAGAGGAGAAUUCUUCUGUCCUAGCUGUGUCUCUGUGAUCUGUGGAUGAGGGUGGGAAAGCACCACUCAGUCAAUUGGGGUGUACAAAAUGGAGUUUGAGAAGGUCUCACAUCCAGGUUGUUUUGAAGCAAAGUCCAAGCAUUGUAUCACUUCAUCUGCAAAUAUUUCAAUAAGUACCCAAAAGACUUCCUAGGAUAGAGCUUGGAAAGGUUGGAAAAGUAAGGAUGAUUGAACUUGAAAGGUGUGAAUGAAAGAAGAAUUAUCUUUUGGGAUGGAGAAUAGUAGCUGUUUUCAAAGAAGAUUUUAUUUUAUCUUUCAUUUUUGGCCUAUAAGUUUUGCAGAGAAUCUGUGAUUAGAGUAUUUAGUAAAGUACUAUGUAAUUAUUGUUCUGUUAUUUGGACACAUGUUUAAACUAGAAUUUUGAAGAUAGCAAUUAGCAAUAAUUAUGUAUGUUCUAGCCACUUUAUUCAUUCUACCUCUUUUACCAUAUACUUUAAAGAUAUCUAUAUGGUAAAAGGUAAGUGGCAACUGAAUAAUCACAAAUACAUCAACAAGUAAAGAGAUGCUUUGUUUUAUUGAGUGCAUUCUUAUAUUUUCUCUUUUGCUGGAAUAAUAAGUGGGGUUUUAAACUGAUCUGUUCUAACAUUGUUUUUCCUCAUUUUCUCUCUCUU